ACGUAAUAGAUACCCAGGUAGUCCACGCCCUAAACGAUGUCUACUAGUUGUCGGGUCUUAAUUGACUUGGUAAACGCAGCUAAACGCGUGAAGUAGACCGCCUGGGGAGUACGGUCGCGAGAUUAAAACUCAAAGGAAUUGACGGGGACCCGCACAAGCGGUGGAUGAUGUGGAUUAAUUCGAUGCAACGCGAAAAACCUUACCUACCCUUGACAUGGAUGGAAUCCCUGAGAGAUUGGGGAGUGCCCGAAAGGGAACCAUUACACAGGUGCUGCAUGGCUGUCGUCAGCUCGUGUCGUGAGAUGUUGGGUUAACGUCCCGCAACGAGCGCAACCCUUGUCAUUAGUUGCUACGAAAGGGCACUCUAAUGAGACUGCCGGUGACAAACCGGAGGAAGGUGGGGAUGACGCCAAGUCCUCAUGGCCCUUAUGGGUAGGGCUUCACACGUCAUACAAUGGUACAUACAGAGGGCCGCC
rnacentral:rRNA from 1 species